rnacentral:misc_RNA from 1 species
CGCACAGCAACAAGAAGCGCGUGCACACGCAGCAGCAACAAAGACAUCCCUUUGCCAGGACUCGACUCCCCUCCGCUCUCCCACUCGCUCACCCUCGCCGCCCUCCUCGCCAGCUCCGCUGCGCCAUCUCGACCCCCUUGCCAUUUCACCCCCCCCUCCGUCCACAUCUGCUUUACAUCCGUUUUCCGGUGUGAGCGUGCGAAGAUGGCGUGCAGGAUCAGCAUGCUUCUCUACGUGAUCUCCCAGUUCUUCGCGUUUCUCUUUGUGCUGGUGGGCACGCCGAUCGACAUGUUUCGCCACCAUGGUACAAGCAAAUUCGGCAACACGCCGUGUCUGACCUUGUGGGGUGUAAAGGAAGAGUGCUACAGCACCGUCUACAACGUGAAGUCGGACGAUCUGUGGGCGAACUGCCCGGACCGCCGCCUCCAGUUCCGCGUUGCCCAGGCACUCGCUGUCAUUUCCAUCGUCGUGUACGGCUUGGCUUUCAUCCUCGGCUUCAUUAUGCUGUUCUGCUGCUUUUGCCUCCGCUGGGUCUGUCUGACGCUCAACAUCCUUGGCUUCGGCACCUUGGGCGUCGUCUGGGCGCUCAUGGUGGUGGCCUACUACAAGGAUGACGGCAGAGAUUGUCCGAGGCUGAGCGACCGUUAUCACUUCGGUGCUGGUUUUGCUCUCUUCGUGUCCACAUGGUGCAGAGAUAUAUUCAGUAUUAUCUCUCUGCUUCUUUGCUGCCACUCCGCAGACUCAGGGAAGCGGAAAGUCGCGAACCAAAAUCAAAAGGAACAGUAGGAGGAAGAGCGCAGGAGGAAGCGGCGCUCAUGUCAGCGAGAGAGGGCGCUAGGGCUGCUGGUUCCGGUCUCUGCCUCGCACCGGCUUCUCUCUCGCGCUGCCCUCUCGUGCGUGCGCGUGCGGCGCGCCCCACGCGCUCUCGAGGCGGCGCAGACGUGCUCCCACACACACGCACAGGCCCCAGCACACAGCCCGAGGAGCCGCUCUCGCUCCCAUUGUCCUCGCGUCUCUUCUCGAGCGCUUUCCUCCAUCUCAACCGUUAUGGCGGUGUGCGCGAAUAUGCUCUGACGUGUGGAUGGCGGUGUGGCACGUAGGAAGGAACAUGGUACGGUGUGCCGAUGGUUUGCCUCUCUCGUGCUCACGUCAUGUCAUGCGCGGCGCGUCUUUUCCUUCGCCGCUUGCCUGCUCUCCAUCUGCACAAGGAUGUGCGCUGUGUAGAUGGCAGCGCGCAUCCGGCGCCGGCAAGCCCAUCCAUGCCCCCGUCCCCCCUCCCCGCCCUCACGCUCGCCCGGCGCACCCUUGGCGGAGCGGAGAAGCGAGAUGGUGGCGCCGUCGCCGCAGGCCGGCGAAUCGGCGAGGGAAAACGAGGGCGAAAGAGAGAAGAGAACAGCCGAAGCGGGAGUGGAAGGGGGACGGAGAAGGGGGGUGACGGAGGCGCUCGUGAGACGGGAGUGGGAGGGAGGGAGGAGUCAGAGAGGCCUAUGCGCACGCGCGCGAAACAGGAGAAGCGGCCGCGGCCCUCCUCCCUCCCCUCCGUCCACCUCGCCUUUCUCUUGCUGCGGCGGCACCCCGGUGCUCCUCGCACUGGCGAGAGGACGACGCAGAGCACCGCAGCGACAUGGAAGGCGCCGAGCAGCGUCUCUGCCGCACUCCCGGCUGUCGGUGCUUCGCCUUCUCUCUUCGUUGUGCGCGUGUUUGCCCUUCUUUUCGUUGCGCUCUCUCUGCGCGUGUGCAGACGCAAGAGGCCGAUGGGCUGGGUGGGGAAGCGAGCAGCGGCAGCAAGUGCACACACACACACGCACACGCACGAGGCAAUGAGGGGGAAAAGGAAGGAGCGAAGAAGUGCAGAGCGGAAGGGGCCCAUGCGAAACGGAAAAGAUGAACAACGAACGAGAGACGUGGCUGCUUUCCUCUUCGCUGCAGCUCGUGCCCGUGCCCGUGUCUGCGUGUGCUUGUGCCUGUGCGCGCUCCGCCCCUCCAUCUCGUCGCCUCUCCUGUGCUUUAUCUUCGUCACUUCUCUCACUUCGUGGCUACACCGCUGGACCCUCAAGGCUCCGAUGUCAAGAGUCUCCCUACCGUACUAUGGAGUGCAGCAGCUUGAGGCGACUCAGGUGGAAGCAUGGCAUGCGGGCCGUGUGCAGGGUCUCAGAGGGCCCUGACCCGAAGCUGGCCGACUUCCUCCUUGAGCUCAUCCGGCAUUUACCUGUACCCGUCCCCUAUUACCUGCGCGGCAGGCGCCACCACCUCCGCCCACGAGCAGCACCCUGAGCGCGGCUCGCCCCAGACGGCCCGGAUUUAGCUGCAGUGCAACAGAGGUCGGUGGACCGUAGCGCGCGCGUCUACUUGCGGGCCUGCCUGCGAUGGCGUGACACGCUGAAAGCGCGCAUUCCGUUGCCCCGCCACGCAGGCAAACGAUAAGCAGAACGAGAAGGGAGUGCGCACACACACACACAAAACGACCAAAUGCAAAACGCCCCGCAUCCGCUUGCUCGCCCGACCGCCGCCGCCGCCCGUCUUCUUCGGCUGAAAAGACGGCGUGCGUGCGCCUUUCUCCCCUUCCCCGUUGCGUUAUUGUUUUCUGCUUUUUUUUCUGUGCCGUCUUCCGGCGCGCGUUUCUCGCUUCUCCGCCCCUUCUCGCUUUCGCUCCUCG